rnacentral:tRNA from 1 species
AGCUCAGAGGUAGAGCUCUUGCCUAGCAUGUAUGAGGCCUGGGUUCAAUACCCAG